GACGAACGCUGGCGGCGUGCCUAAUACAUGCAAGUCGAACGCUUCUUUCCUCCCGAGUGCUUGCACUCCAUUGGAAAGCGGAGUGGCGGACGGGUGAGUAACACGUGGGUAACCUACCCAUCAGAGGGGGAUAACACUUGGAAACAGGUGCUAAUACCGCAUAACAGUUUAUGCCGCAUGGCAUAAGAGUGAAAGGCGCUUUCGGGUGUCGCUGAUGGAUGGACCCGCGGUGCAUUAGCUAGUUGGUGAGGUAACGGCUCACCAAGGCCACGAUGCAUAGCCGACCUGAGAGGGUGAUCGGCCACACUGGGACUGAGACACGGCCCAGACUCCUACGGGAGGCAGCAGUAGGGAAUCUUCGGCAAUGGACGAAAGUCUGACCGAGCAACGCCGCGUGAGUGAAGAAGGUUUUCGGAUCGUAAAACUCUGUUGUUAGAGAAGAACAAGGACGUUAGUAACUGAACGUCCCCUGACGGUAUCUAACCAGAAAGCCACGGCUAACUACGUG
rnacentral:rRNA from 1 species